AACGAACGCUGGCGGCGUGUUUAAGACAUGCAAGUCGCACGGUGUCAUUUUGGUAGCAAUACUUGAAUGGCAUAGUGGCGCACGGGUGAGUAACACGUGAAUUACAUGCCCUGUAGAGGGGGAUAGCCCAGGGAAACUUGGAUUAAUACCCCAUGGUCUCGCAAGAGUAAAGGUGGCCGCAAGGCUGUCGCUACAGGAUUGGUUCGCGCCCUAUCAGCUAGUUGGCGGGGUAACGGCCCACCAUGGCUACGACGGGUACCUGGUCUGAGAGGACGAUCAGGCACACUGGAACUGAGACACGGUCCAGACACCUACGGGUGGCAGCAGUCGAGAAUAAUUCACAAUGGGGGCAACCCUGAUGGUGCAACGCCGCGUGGAGGAUGACGGUCUUCGGAUUGUAAACUCCUGUCAUCCGGGAGUAAGACCUGGGCAUGAAUAGUGCACAGGGUUGAUAGUACCGGAAGAGGAAGGGAUGGCUAACUUCGUGCCAGCCGCCGCCGUAACAC
rnacentral:rRNA from 1 species